UCCUGACAGACCUCGGAUGCUCCAGGCCAGUGGAAGAGAGGCGGAAGCCCUCCCGUCUCCGUCUCCGCUGCACAUCUCCCGCCCACACGGGUUGGGUCCCAGGCUCAUUCUGAACCACCCAGUACCUGAAUGGUCCACAUCUGACUCGGGCUGAGUGUGGACUGGGGACUGGCAGUGGGUUCCCAGAGGAAAAUCACUGUUCUGUUACCCAGGAGACAGGUUUGAAUGAGACUCUGUAUAGGAAAGUACUCUGUAAUAUGAAGGGCUACCCAGCACUUGGGAAGCUGAGGCAGGAGGAUCGCCAUGAGUCCGAAGCUGGCCUGGUCUACAUCGUGAGUUCAAGACCAACCUGAACUACACAGCAAGAUGCUGUCUCAACAAAACAAAAUUGUGAAGGGCUACACAAAAAUGAAGGAUUGUUACUAUUGCUAUUUUUACUAUUAUUAUCUUUUCCUAAUGUCUCCCACUCCUGCUCUGACUAUGCAGCAAGGCGCUUUCCCAUAAGACACGAAGAAUGAAUGUGGCCUCACAGCGAGAACCCGGCCAGGGCUGCCGUGAGCACAUGUGGCAUCUUUGUUAGACUAGAAAUGGACUGCUCCCUCCACCUCUGGAGAGUGCAGUCCUCGGGAAACGUGGUGUAGCAAUUGGAUAGCAUCUUUGUGUAGAGAAAAAGUCACCCAUUCUUCCAGGCAGACCCCUGCAUCCUAGGAUGCACAGCACGCUGAAUGGUUGGUAUGCGCUGGAGGCUGCUGCUGCUUCUGCCUGAGCUGAGCAGUGGGGCAGUGGGGCUGGGGCUCCGUGAAGUACACAACCCAAACAGCUGUACUCUGUAGUUAUGAUGUGAGUGAUGGACCAUCUAGUGGGUUGAACUCUUGAAGUCCUACUUCCCACUGUUCUGACAAAGUUAUUCUAACCCUCCAGGACCAUUUACUACUAUCCCUUCUUCGAGGCUUUUCACUCCCUGCUGACAGCAGCAGUCUGGCUGCCUCUGUCAGUUAACUACCUACUAGCCAGUGAUUGAGACCAUGCUGGCCUUUCCAGGUAUGAACUGCGUAUCAUUCCAGCUGCAAGGCAGAGAAUCAUUCCUGUUUUACUGUGUUGCCUGGUGAUGUUGCAGAGGACAGCUAACCCUUCCAAAUGAACACAGGGCACUGGUUACCCACCACUGGGUACUGCUGGAGAGUCAGAUGCUCAUUUCUCCAAGUUGCCCAGCAAAGGCAAGGAAAAGCACCCUUUGUCUAGAUGGACCCCCACUGAUGGCCAUGCUAACUCCUGGCAACAGCAGCUCCAGAGGGAACUGUGUGAAUGUCCAGCCAGCCUCUGGGGAGCCAAGGGUAUGGUGCAGCAACCUUUAUGCUCCUCCACCAGAGUUUUAGAUUCUUAAAAGACUUCUGACUCUUCUAUAACACAGGAGCCAAAAGUCACUUGCGAUGCUGUGUUGUGCCCAGGUUAUCCCUUUUGCUUGACCCUUAGGGUUUUUUGAAUCAUGUGAAAUGCACAGCUAUGAAAGAAACUUUGCAAAAUGAUUUUAGCCAGGACCAACCAGUCAUGAGUCACCACAUCAGUGUUGGUAUUAUUUUGUUUGUUUGUUUUUUGAGAUGAGAUCUUACUGUUUCCCAGGCUGGUUUUGAACUUUUGGGUUCAAGUCGUCUUCCUGCCUCAGUCUCCUGAGUAGCUGGGACUACAAGUAUGUGCCACUGCCCCUGGCCAACACUGGUGUAAAUGAAUUGAAUCUCUGUUUAGAGGUCUCUCCGGCCUAGAAAACACCUUUGCUGGACACUGUUGUUGGUAGCUUACCUGUCUUCUUUACACAGAAAAUACUUUUUCUGCUGCCUUGGCUCUCAUUUCCUCACUAUCUACUUGCUUUUACUUCCUUCGAGGUGGCUGGUUUGUCUGCUAGCCCAUUCCUUACUCCCGUCCAUUCUCUGCCC
ensembl:lncRNA